rnacentral:rRNA from 1 species
AUGCCGGGCCUCACCAUCGGCGACACCGUCCCCAACCUGGAGCUGGACUCCACCCAUGGCAAGAUCCGCAUCCACGACUACGUCGGCAACGGCUACGUCAUCCUCUUCUCCCACCCCGGUGAUUUCACCCCGGUGUGCACGACGGAGCUGGCGGCCAUGGCCAACUACGCCAAGGAGUUCGAGAAGCGGGGCGUGAAGCUGCUCGGCAUCUCCUGCGACGACGUGCAGUCCCACAAGGAGUGGACCAAGGACAUCGAGGCCUACAAGCCUGGGAGCAGGGUGACGUACCCGAUCAUGGCGGACCCGGACCGCUCCGCCAUCAAGCAGCUCAACAUGGUCGACCCGGACGAGAAGGACGGCCAGGGGCAGCUGCCGUCCCGCACCCUGCACAUCGUGGGGCCGGACAAGGUGGUGAAGCUGAGCUUCCUGUACCCGUCGUGCACGGGGCGGAACAUGGACGAGGUGGUGCGGGCCGUGGACUCGCUGCUGACGGCGGCCAAGCACAAGGUGGCCACCCCGGCCAACUGGAAGCCCGGGGAGUGCGUGGUGAUCGCGCCCGGCGUCUCCGACGAGGAGGCCAAGAAGAUGUUCCCGCAGGGGUUCGAGACCGCCGACCUGCCCUCCAAGAAGGGGUACCUCCGCUUCACCAAGGUCUAG